GAGUUUGAUCCUGGCUCAGAUUGAACGCUGGCGGUAUGCUUAACACAUGCAAGUCGAACGAUGAAUUCCAGCUUGCUGGAAGGAUUAGUGGCGGACGGGUGCGUAACGCGUGGGAAUCUACCUUGUAGUGGGGGAUAGCCCGGAGAAAUCCGGAUUAAUACCGCAUAAUCUCUACGGAGCAAAGUGGGGGAUCUUCGGACCUCACGCUAUUAGAUGAGCCCGCGUUAGAUUAGCUUGUUGGUGAGGUAAUGGCUCACCAAGGCUACGAUCUAUAGCUGGUUUGAGAGGAUGAUCAGCCACACUGGGACUGAGACACGGCCCAGACUCCUACGGGAGGCAGCAGUGGGGAAUAUUGGACAAUGGGCGCAAGCCUGAUCCAGCAAUACCGCGUGUGUGAAGAAGGCCUGAGGGUUGUAAAGCACUUUCAAUAGAGACGAAAAGCUCAGAGUUAAUAGCUCUGGGUCUUGACUUAACCUAUAGAAGAAGCACCGGCUAACUCCGUGCCAGCAGCCGCGGUAAUA
rnacentral:rRNA from 1 species